rnacentral:rRNA from 1 species
UACGUAGGUGGCAAGCGUUGUCCGGAUUUACUGGGUGUAAAGGGCGUGCAGCCGGGCUGACAAGUCAGAUGUGAAAUCCCGCGGCUCAACCGCGGAACUGCAUUUGAAACUGUCAGUCUUGAGUACCGGAGAGGUCAUCGGAAUUCCUUGUGUAGCGGUGAAAUGCGUAGAUAUAAGGAAGAACACCAGUGGCGAAGGCGGAUGACUGGACGGCAACUGACGGUGAGGCACGAAAGCGUGGGGAGCAAACAGG